ensembl:ncRNA lncRNA:CR45542 long non-coding RNA:CR45542
AAAUUCUAUAAACAACUUUCGCGGAACUCGAGCUCUGUGAGGUUUUAUAAUAGAAAAAAUAAGCCCCCUUUUUGCCCCCUUCCAGCGCGAAUCGAUCGAUGACUUUGGUGUUUAUCGAACGCUCGCCUAACCGCCUCGCCGCCUCAUCAGUCGUACCGCUCAACCCAUUCCAGAACCGACCGCCCCCGCCACCAAAUCCGUCGCCCCUUUAUGCGAUCAAUGGCUCAAUCAAGCCUUUUGUCUGCUGUGGAUCGCAGCACUUGUAAUUCAAAUGCGUCAAACGAAAACCCGACUGCAAAUGAUUCAAUUUAAAAUGGACUACAAAAGCGGCGAAAAACUACGUAAGACUCAAGUGCAACGGCUGAUUGCGGCACUGGAAAUACCCUACAAUUUAAGAGGGGAUACGCACUAUGUGCACUAUUUUUAGCUCAAGUAAUUCCUAGCAAAAUACCCAAAUAUGUCAUAAUGCAAUACAAUACAAGAAUAUGAAUGUUCUACUAUAUGAACAUUAUCCAAAAAUAUAUAUU